GCUGGGCUUGGUGGUGCAUGCCUGUAAUCCCAGCAGCUCAGGAGGCUGAGGCAGGAUGAUGGCUACUUUAAAGCCAGGCUCAGCAAUUU
rnacentral:sRNA from 1 species